UACGUAGGGUGCGAGCGUUAAUCGGAAUUACUGGGCGUAAAGCGUGCGCAGGCGGUCUCGCAAGUCGAGUGUGAAAGCCCCGGGCUUAACCUGGGAAUUGCGCUCGAAACUACGGAACUGGAGUGUGGCAGAGGAAGGUGGAAUUCCACGUGUAGCGGUGAAAUGCGUAGAGAUGUGGAGGAACACCGAUGGCGAAGGCAGCCUUCUGGGCCAACACUGACGCUCAGGCACGAAAGCGUGGGGAGCAAAC
rnacentral:rRNA from 1 species